UACGAAGGGGGCUAGCGUUGCUCGGAAUCACUGGGCGUAAAGCGCACGUAGGCGGAUUGCUAAGUCAGGGGUGAAAUCCUGGAGCUCAACUCCAGAACUGCCUUUGAUACUGGUGAUCUUGAGUCCGGGAGAGGUGAGUGGAACUGCGAGUGUAGAGGUGAAAUUCGUAGAUAUCUGGAGGAACACCGGUGGCGAAGGCGGCAUCCUGGACCGACACUGACGCUGAGGAGCGAAAGCCAGGGGAGCAAACGGG
rnacentral:rRNA from 1 species